AUGUUUCUUAUUUAUUUGUUCAAUGGAAUCAGUUAAAAACAAACUUAUCAACCGAUUAUUAAAACAUUGGAAUCAUGUUGAACUAAUCUAACAGAAUACAAAGAUAAACAUGUUCAGACAUCACGUUGAAGAAUUCAUAGUCAGUGU